rnacentral:rRNA from 1 species
ACGGAGAAGGCUAUGUUGGCCGGGCGACGGUUGUCCCGGUUUAAGCGUGUAAGCUGGNUUUUCANAGAAUCUGGGAAAAAUCCGAAGCUGCUGAGGCGUGAUGACGAACUNACGGUGCGAAANCAACAAAUGCCCUGCUUCCAGGAAAAGCCUUCUAAGCAUCAGGUAACCAUCGUACCCCAAACCGACACAGGUGGUCGGUAGAGAAUACCAAGGCGCUUGAGAGAACUCGGGUGAAGGAACUAGGCAAAUGGUGCCGCAAUCUUCGGAGAAGGCACGCUGAUAUGUAGGUGAGGUCCCUCGCGGAUGGAGCUGAAAUCAGUCGAAGAUACCAGCUGGCUGCAACUGUUUAUUAAAACACAGCACUGUACAAACGANAAANGCGGACGUAUCGGUGAGCGCCUGCCCGGUGCCGGAAGGUUAAAUUGAUGGGGUUAGCGCAAGCGAAGCUCAUGAUCAAAGCCCCAGUAACGGCGGCCGUAACGNUAACGGUCCUAAGGUGGCAGCGAAAUUCCUUGUCGGGUAAGUUCCGACCUGCACGAAUGGCGUAAUGAUGGCCAGGCUGUCUCCACCGAGGCUCAGUGAAAUUGAACUCGCUGUGAAGAUCNGUNUNCCCGCGGCAAGACGGAAAGACCNUGAACCUUUACUAUAGCCUGACACUGAACAUUGGCCUUGAUGUGUAGGAUAGGUGAGGCUUUGAAGUGUGGACGCCAGUCUGCAUGGAGCCGACCUGAAAUACCACCUUUCAAUGUUUGAUGUUCUNGUUGACCAGUAAUCCGGGUUGCGGACAGUGUCUGGUGGGUGUUUGAGCUGGGGCGGUCUCCUCCUAAAGAGUAACGGAGGAGCACGAAGGUUGGCUAAUCCUGGUCGGACAUCAGGAGGUUAGUGCAAUGGCAUAAGCCAGCUUGACUGCGAGCGUGNNGGCGCGAGCAGGGCGAAAGCAGGUCAUAGUAUCCGGUGGUUCCUGAAUGGAAGGGCCAUCGCUCAACGGAUAGAAGGUACUCCGGGGAUAACAGGCUGAUACCGCCCGAAGUUCAUNAUCGACGGCGGUGUUUGGCACCUCGAUGUCGCUCAUCACAUCCUGGGCUGAGUAGGUCCCAAGGUAUGGCUGUUCGCCAUUUAAAGUGGUACGCGAGCUGGGUUUAGAACGUCGUGAGACAGUUCGGUCCCUAUUCCGUGGGCGCUGGAGAACUGAGGGGGCUGCUCCUAGUACGAGAGGACCGGAGUGGACGCAUCACUGGUGUUCAGGUUGUCAUGCCAAUGGCACUGCCCGGUAGCUUCAUCGGAAGAGAUAAGUGCAAGCAUCUAAGCACGAAACUUGCCCCGAGAUGAGUUCUCCCUGACCCUUUAAGGUCCCUGGAAGGAACGUUGAAGACGACGACGUUGAUAGGCCGGGUGUGUAAGCGCAGCGAUGCGUUGAGNUUAACCACCACUAANCGUGAAAACNGCNNNNNNAA